GCGCCUAUAGCUCAAUUGGAUAGAGCAGCGGAAUUCUAGUCCGUAGGUUGAGGGUUCAAAUCCUUCUGGGCGCGCCA
rnacentral:tRNA from 1 species